UUCUUCUUCAUAACCAAAGAAAAACCCUAGAACUUUAGGGAGAGCAGCCGCAAUAUACCACCAGUCGUCCCCUCAUCUCCUACACACAUAACAACCAUUCUCCAUCGUCAUCUUAUAAACUCUAGACCAAAAAACUCACGACCAACCAUCACCUCUCACCCAAAGACCUAGACUAAAAACAAAGAAAAACGGCAGCAUUCAAAAAGCUGGAGGAAUUUUGGUUCUGAAAAAUCUUUUGAGCAAUUAAAUUUGUGCGACUCAAAUGGACGCUGAAGCCGUAUGGUCAAGCAGAAGGAUUGAUUUUCUGAAUGUUGAAGAAUCGAUCGGUUGACCUUCAUCGGAAAACGCAUGUUUAUAAUAGUGUUUUUCAUGCUUUGCAAGUUAUAUAUAACCAGAGAAGGCUAUGUAGUACUUUUGGGAUCAAAUAUGGAGAAAAAGAGGCCGAUCGUAAAAAUUCUGUCAAGUAAACCACGCGAAACAACUCAAGUUAGAACUGAAAGAGGACUGCCGCGGUUCCACCGCGACCGCGGCAGAACCGCGGUAGAAGAUGGCUGCAGACAAAGUGAGAAUCAGAGAGCAUGUUUGGCCAUGGUUUGACCGCGACCGCGACAGAACCGCGGCGGAGGCGGAGAACUUCAGGGACUAAAGUGCAAAACACGGAAUUUUAGCCCAAAACCCUAUUUUAAACACUAGACUUCGCCCAAGAGAGGCAUGUAUUGAUUUGGAGAGUAUUUUGGCAAGGAAAAAUAAUUGUGAGAGAUCACCCAAAACAUCUUUCUUCUUUUCUUUGAUUGUUCUUGCAAGUUUUAUGAUGAAUAUUGUUU